GUGGGGAAUUUUGGACAAUGGGCGCAAGCCUGAUCCAGCGACGCCGCGUGGAGGACGAAGGCCUUCGGGUUGUAAACUCCUUUUGGAGGGGAAGAAUAAAUUGACGGUACCCUCAGAAAAAGCCACGGCUAACUACGUGCCAGCAGCCGCGGUAAUACGUAGGUGGCGAGCGUUACUCGGAAUUACUAGGCGUAAAGCGUAUGUAGGUGGUUAGAUAAGUCUAUGGUGAAAUUUCCUGGCUUAACUGGGAAGGGACAUAGAUACUAUCUGGCUUGAGUGUGCGAGGGGGAGACGGAAUUCCUGGUGUAGCUGUGAAAUGCGUAGAUAUCAGGAGUAACACCGAUGGCGAAAGCAGUCUCCUGGCCCAAUACUGACACUGAGGUACGAAAGCUAGGGUAGCAAACAGGAUUAGAUACCCUGGUAGUCC
rnacentral:rRNA from 1 species